CAAGCCAGAAGAGGCGCGUCGCCCAGGUAAAGUGUCUGAGGAGCCAUCAUCCGAUGACGGCACUGGAGGGGGAGCGACGCCGAGGCGUGAUGAUAUCCAGGUUUAUCGGGUAUAACGGCAACCAUCACGUCGGCUACAGGGGCUGAAUCCCCUGAGUUGUCACCGUGGGCCACCUUAAUCAAGUGGUCAGCAAGGUGGAGCGCUUCUGGGUGU
rnacentral:ncRNA from 2 species